UAUCAACGAGUCUUCAAACAUGCGGCAUAAAAUAAACCACAUUCGAUCUAAUUCUACCCGCCCAUGGGAUUUCCUUCUUCUGGUGGAGAGCAUACAGGUCACCCACGGAGGCAGGUUAGUGGACUGGUUCUAAUUAUAACGAACAGCGUGAUCGUAAAAGGUACGUGCAUGCACAUGUGACCGCCUCAUUAUUAUUACUUGCAGAGCCACAGAAUGAUUUCUGUGCUUACAGUGCUCACGCGUUAUCACGCAUAUCCUUUGUGAGCCAUCACGCUCGCCAGGCAUCGAUGUGACCAGAGAUCAACUGCGCCAUUGUAUAGUUGACGUCCAUUCACGACGCUUUUCAAAUAAUAAUAAUUAACAGCAGCCACACAUUAGGAAACUUCAUAAAUAUUUCGAUCUUCUCUAAAGAUGCACAAAACGCGCCGCAAGCAUACCCAAUACUACCAAUGCAAUCUUUUCUGAAGCUUCGCAUACCCUGCAUUUUUUUUUUUUUUUUGCGGGAGGCUAUUUCUUUUUAUCGCGCGGGUUCUUUCCGGCAAUAUUUUUGGAAGUGUGCAUCGGCAGAAUUUCACUGGUGGCAUGAACCCUUUCGUGUUUACAUUGAUGUUGUGACAGUUAACAACACAAUAAUUUCCAGUCAUUCGAAGAGGCGCCGUCGGAAACAAGAGACGUUUCGCGCGCAGCGCGAGCUAAGCGCGGGCGCGACCUUGACGGGAAGCAGCGAAAACGUACACCUGUGGGAGGUGAAAUCAUUCCGCCGGGAGAGAAGCGAGCACCAUGCGAGUGCUGGCCUCUAGGAUGAAACUUGGCCUGCGAAAAAGGCGCGAAGGCGAGCGUUUCGCGCGUUUAUUGUGAGUGCGGAGGCGCCAUUUUCAGUUGUCACUACGGCUGCGCAAGGUGGUCAAGACUGUUGUUUCUUUCUCCUGAGCUCCUGGCCGGGUUGGCCCCGCAGUAAAGAUUCUGAGUGACAAAAGGGUGUGAAAUAGAAGGCAUCAAGGCAUCAGUGGGCAUUUUGUCUUCACUGAGUACUUCAAUGAGUGAAGGGCAGCCAGUCCACUGCAGUCUUUCUUUCUCGCAAGUCAUGGCUGCAUGCUUCUGAACGGCCUUUUUUGUGUGUAUCGAUCUUAAUAGAUUUGCUGUUGACAUGUCUCCUUUCUUGUAGUCCUCUCACUAUAUUUCUAUUAUUUUGUAAUCGAUUCCAUUGCAGUAUUUUUGUCAGUCUUAUGCGGCUACUUCCGUUGCAGUUUGUGUUACCACUAAAGAAAGCUGAACUAGCUGGUAAAUGUUCACACUUUUGCAUACAGCACAACAUGCAUAAAUGCACAGUACCACUUGUGUGUACUUCCUGUUGUCCAUUGUCAUGUUACGUGGUAUUGUAGGAACCAUGCUAAAGUGUAAGCUUACUACUAUCUCAAUUCAAGUGAUGGCUAAGUUCUAGUGUGUUGCAAGGUGAGGCUACGAAACAGUUUGAUUACAUUUUAUUAUGCCUCUUUUGUGUUACGAUGUGGCCGUGAGUCGGAAAGGCUGCACUAUAUUGAGCAGUACUGCAUGAGGACUCCAGUUUCAGUAUAUAUCAACCGUUCCGUUCAUUGCUAUUUACUUCUUUUCCUCAGGAAGAGGUGGCAGGGCUACUAGUAUGUAGCAAUUCAAUGCUACACAUAUUUCACAUUUAACCAUUCUGUGUCACUUCCAGAUUUAUGUUUAUUUGUUACAAACAAUAAUUUCCUUGAUAGUUAUUUCACUGUGAAGUAUUUAUCAUUUAUGCUGGUCUUUGCUGGCGGCAAAAAGUCUGCUCUCUUCUAGUCGUUUUACUUUUAUGCGUAGGGUUGUAUUUGUUUUCUUGCUGUCAGCCCAGAGUUUUUAUCUAGUACAUAGCGAGAAUCGCUGUUUCAGUUCUUAUUUGCAUUUUGUUUUACUGUGACUUACUUUUUCGAGAAGAAACAGUAUUUUAUUUGUAGUGCAUUGCAAGUUUGUCACAUUUCAGCUACUGUUUGCAUAGUUUUGUUCAUAUGCAUGUGUAAACCAAGGAGGGAUCAUUUGCCGUUUCCAAGGUAUUGCUAGAAUAUGAAAAAAAAAAGGCGCAGUCCAGAUAAUUUAUGUCUCAGCUGUGUGAUAUUUUAGGUGUGAGGAUUGCUAGUACCUUUAUGUUCCUUGUAUACUCAUUACUGAAUGUAGUGAAACGCGAUAGCGUACUGAUCGCCAACUUUUUUUUCGGGGAUAGGAGCCUCACCUCAAGACUCAUUCACUCUAAUGAAACAGUGAAUGCCUGCGCUCUGUUGCUGUCUUGUAUACCAUGUGACAUUCUGAGCUUUUUUCUCAUGCUCCCUGAUGUCAAGGUGAAGAAUAAUCGUACUAUAGUGAAAGAAGUGUACCAUGCUUUUGAAGUACCCUGAGUGCUACACCUGGCCCUGCCCACCUCAAUUGAUGUUUCUAAAGAUAUACUACCGAUAGUGGUGCUUAGUAAACACUCUUAUAUUAUGUGAUCACAUCUCACUCUUGUAGCCCUUGGGGGCUGGAAAUUUUAAUGUACUGCUGUAAAAGCUGUCACCUGCAGACUUUGUCUUAGUUUGUGCUAAUAAGUUGUUGGCUUUUAUUAUAAUGCAGGACUGUCACAUAUUCUUUCUCUGAAUGUUACAGGUUUGCAGUAUAUCAAUUGUCUCGUGACCAGUUCUGUGUUUGAGUACUUGUAACACUUGCAUCACUAUACCGGCUCUCCAUGUAUUAAAUCGAGUUUUUGUAAUGGAAAUGAAUAAAAAUUUCUGUGAAAGUGA